AGAAAAUAUUGUUUGGUUUCUUUAAGUGCCCCAUGCACAGGGCAAAAAAAAAAAUUGAUUAAUUUAUUGAUAUUAUUGGCUAAAUUUCAUAUACAUAAGUCAAAAUUUUCUAAUGCAAAACCAUCCUUUCAGUGCUUUUUAAAUGAAACCAAACAAUAUGUAAAAACCAUACAACAUUCUCAACAUUUAAAAGCUGUCAAAACCAUAAACUUAUGCUCCCUGUUCAAUAUCAUGUGAUUCUUUAUUAGACUGUUUUGUUUUUCCAUAGAAACCCCCUGACGUUGUUAUUUUGUAUUUGUAUUCUGUGCUUUGUCAAUAAAGCGUAUUCAAAAAAAAAUAAAGCCGCUGCCGUAAAGCGGAGUGUAGAAGUGCAAGAAAACCUGUGCGGCGGACGAGCCGCGGCUCACAGUGACGAACAAGAAGAAAGGAGAAAAAAAAGAGCACGAGCGCAUCGUUAAAGCAGACUAACGUGAAAACACGUGACGAGGUGAAGGUAGGCGGUACGGUUUGGUGACGUCACAGUGAAAUCCAGCGUCAUGACUUUAACAUUGAACAAAUCCAGUCCGCACAGGCUCAGGAACAGACUUCAUCCUUUUACUUUAACCAUGAAACAUGAAGCUGUCACUCAUGAUGAGACAGGAGCUCAGCUUUCAGCGUCACAGCUGGAACAACAUCAGCUGACAUGAAAGAAACACAGACGUUUGUUCCCUGUUAGCAAAGAUGAAGAUGGAGAGCGUGAGGGAACUACAGAGAGGAGGAGGACACGGGCUGUGAGGGACGCAGUGGAGCAGCCCUCAGACCUACAUCAGCAGGAGCGAGGACGACCCCCCCAGUCUGAGGACGUUCCUCCACAUGAAUGGGGGACAGGAGGCGCAGCUUCCAGCCCAGCUGGUAGGAAAGUCCUCCUUGGGUGGACUUCUCUGUAACUAUGGACUCAUGCAUGCAGACGUUUCAGUCCACAGUGAUGUCAGUCAGUGCUUUUUAAAGAUGUGCACGUGUGCAGGAUGUGAAAUCUUCACUUUGAUUGUUAAAUGUUCGUUCACUUUGUUUGUGCUUCAAAUAAAUUCACUUCAUGGAUGAAACAGUU